rnacentral:lncRNA from 1 species
AUUUUAUUAAAAAGAGAUAGAGAAAAUGUUGGAAUACAAAAGCGUAAAAGUGCUUAUGUUCAAGUAUAUGGUGUAAAUGCUCAUGAAAAUGAAGACCUGGUUCAUAGUGAUAUUCUAACUCAGGUAUUUGACGAUGGGCAUAAAACAACGGUUAGUGGAUUGUGUGGUGCCAUUUUUUAUGUCCUUUUCAAUCCACACAUUGUAAUCAAAGCUGAAACGAUGCAUAAUAACUUUCAAAUUCAAUCACAAUAUUCGGAGGUAGAACUAGGAAUGCCUAAAAAUAAAUUAAAAGAUUAUACAAUAAAAUUUGAAGAAGACAUAAACAAGCUAGAACAUAAAUGCCAAAUUAAUAAAUAUUUUGUAUUAGAAUUGGAUAGAACAGGUGAAACUUUAAAAAUGACGUGGCAAGUAUUUAGCGGUAUAACCAAAAUAACUGAAGAAAAUAAAGCAGACGUUAGAAAUUUCCUUUUACAUAACUUAGAAGAACCCUUUACCAGUGUAGAUAUAUUUACUGCAAAAACCAGUUCUAGUAAUUUUCUGUUCGAAGAUCAGCACUAUGAAUUGCCUACAGAUAUGCCACGUAAGUUUUUUUUUUUUUUUUUUUUUUUUUUUUAACAACUAUACUUAUCUCAGCUUUUUCCGUUACAAAUUUUAGACAUUACUGUUAGUUACUAUUGCGAACAAAUGACAGUCUACAUGUGCAUAUAUAAAUAUUUAUAUACACUUUUUUU